UGAUAGACCUGAUCGUAACUUUAUCCUUUAUGUCCUCUAUUUAAGGGCAUAAAGAUAGAGUGAAUAAUAGGAGCUAUA
rnacentral:misc_RNA from 1 species